GAUUAACGCUGGCGGCAUGCUUUACACGUGCAAGUCGAACGGUAACAGGCCGCAAGGUGCUGACGAGUGGCGAACGGGUGAGUAAUGCAUCGGAACGUGCCCAGUCGUGGGGGAUAACGCAGCGAAAGCUGUGCUAAUACCGCAUACGAUCUAUGGAUGAAAGCGGGGGAACGUAAGGCCUCGCGCGAUUGGAGCGGCCGAUGUCAGAUUAGGUAGUUGGUGGGGUAAAGGCCCACCAAGCCAACGAACUGUAGCUGGUCUGAGAGGACGACCAGCCACACUGGGACUGAGACACGGCCCAGACUCCUACGGGAGGCAGCAGUGGGGAAUUUUGGACAAUGGGCGCAAGCCUGAUCCAGCAAUGCCGCGUGCAGGAAGAAGGCCUUCGGGCUGUAAACUGCUUUUGUACGGAACGAAAAGGUUUGGGUUAAUACCCUGGGCCGAUGACGGUACCGUAAGAAUAAGCACCGGCUAACUACGUGCCAGCAGCCGCCGUAA
rnacentral:rRNA from 1 species